rnacentral:rRNA from 1 species
UACGAAGGGGGCUAGCGUUGCUCGGAAUCACUGGGCGUAAAGGGCGCGUAGGCGGAUCUUUAAGUCGGGGGUGAAAUCCUGGAGCUCAACUCCAGAACUGCCUUCGAUACUGGAGUGCUUGAGUCCGGGAGAGGUGAGUGGAACUGCGAGUGUAGAGGUGAAAUUCGUAGAUAUUCGCAAGAACACCAGUGGCGAAGGCGGACUCACUGGCCCGGUACUGACGCUGAGGUGCGAAAGCG